rnacentral:lncRNA from 1 species
AUUAAGACUGUUUUAAAAAAAAAAAAAUCCUUUAAAAUUCUUCAUCAAAUAUGGUGACCAAGGUUUAAAACAUAAUUUUAAUUCCAAUAAUAUUAUUAAGUACUACUAAUAUUUAUCUUUCAUCUUGCAUUUUACUGCAACCUCUUUAUUUAUUUUUGUAAAGUAUUUAUUUUUUUGAAAACAUUGUUUAUGAUUAUGGUUUCUUCUUUCUGAAAAUUUAUUAUUUAUGAUUUAUGAUUUUUAGCCCACUUUAACUUUAUUAUCUUUUACUUAAAGAGUUAUUUUGAAAAGAAAAAGAAAAAUUAAUUUUCAAAUAUCAUAUCUAGAAAGCAUUAAUGACAUUAAGUUGUAAUUUGUUAUUAAAGUCAUAGAUGAAAUAUUUGUUAUUAUAUUUAUACAACACAAAAAACAUGGUGAAAAUAAUUCAAUCGAGAGAUGAAUAUAAAGGAUUGAAAUACGAAAAAUUAAAUAGAAUGAUAGCUCAAAUACGAAGAAGAGAACAAACUGAGAUACAAGUAAAUAAAAGAAAGGUUUAAACCCUUUUUUGGUCCCUAAGUUAAAUUCUGAUGUUCAAUUUAGUCCUCGCAUUUAAAAAUGUCAACUUUUAGUCCCUAUGAUAUGAAAAAUGUAUCAACUCAGUUCUCAUGACAGCACUUAAUGAAUAAUAAAUCACAAGUUUUCAUACCUAGGUAUCCAAUAUUUUGUGAUUUGUUAACGAAAGGUGUUAUGAACAACAAAUCACUUAAUGAAAAACUUGUGAUUUGUUAACGGAUAUUAAGUGAUUUAUUGUUCAUAACACCUUCCGUUAACAAAUCACAAAUUCAAAUCACUUAAUGAAAAACUUGUGAUUUGUUAACGGAUAUUAAGUGAUUUAUUGUUCAUAACACCUUCCGUUAACAAAUCACAAAAUAUUGUUCAUUAAGUGCUGUCAUGAGGACUGAUUUGAUACAUUUUUCAUAUUAUAGGGACUAAAGAUUGACAUUUUUAAAAAUGGAGACUAAAGUAAAUAUCAGAACUUAACUUAGGGACAAAAAAAGAUUUGAACCUAAAAGAAAUCUACCUCUAGUGGAGGGAUCCACUUUACACAUUGGAUACUUUAUUUUAUUAUUGAAAUCUCAAAAACGUUGUUACCCUGUCGUGUGGACAACCACAACUUUCUUAUCCAAAUGUACCAAAACACUCUUCUUAAAAGAUUGAAAAGAACGUGAGCAAAUCAUUACAAACAUUGCAUUAGUAAAUUUCUUAUUCCAAACUUGAAAAGGACCAACCAUCAUUUGUUUUCCGUAUCCUAAAAAAAGUAUUCUGUAAUCUGAUUUUCCAAAUUUGUUUCACAGUUCAUAUCUUAAAUAAGGAUGAAAAGAAAUUUAAAUUUGGAAAUUCAAUUCAUAAUAAAUUAAAUUUAUAUUACUUUAUAUUUAUUUUAAAAAAUUAGAUUUAAAUCUAUAUUUUUUAAUUUCAUAUUCAAUGUACUUAAUAAGAUUUGGAUUGGCUUUUAAUUGAAUUACGUCUUUUAUUUUGAAAAUCCAAAAUUAGUGUGUAUUUAAGUCAACUAAGGCACAUUAUUACAAAAAAAAGUAUUUUUAUAUCACUUCAAAAGACUUUUAUAUUAGUUUGCAAAUUAGUAUAAAAGUAAGAGAUAUAAAAAGUAUUUGAUUUUCGAAAUAAAAAAUUCAUUUUUUAUUUUGAUUUUGAAUUCGAUAUAAAAGUAAAGUAUCACAUAAAUGAUUGAAGUUUUUUUUGUCAUGGAUUGGUAAUUAUAGGUUCAAUUCUUGUAAUGUGUGUAAAAUGUGUUUUCACUAUUUUGCUGUUUGAUUUGGGGAAUUUGUUUAGUAGUUGUGUGAGGUGUGUUCAAACCUAGAAUAUAUAUAUAUGUAUAAUUAUUGUGAGAAAAAUAUUCAAUUUCACUUGCUCUUAUUGAAAAUAAGAUUAUCAUAAAUUCGAAAAAUAACACAUAAUUUUAUAAAAUCGUAAGAUUUUUUUUUAUCUAAAUAAGUUAAGUUUUUUAUUAAAAAGAUGUAUCUAAACAUGUUCUAUUUGAUAUGUGUAAAAGAAAAACUAUACUUGAUUUCUUUAAGAAAAUAAAGAAAUAAUAGUCAGGCAAGAUGAUAUGGAUGAACUCCUUCUCUCGUGUUUUUAUGCUAAAAAUCUGGCUUUAUAAAUUUAAUAAAUACUUUGAUAUUGUUUUAAUGGGAGAAGAAGUGUACCAAUAUAGUGAAACACGUUAUAAAAUUAGACUCAUCCAAUUAAUAUUAUAUAUUCUUAAUGAAACUUCUAGUGGAUGAACCUAAGAACUUUCUAUAAAACUUGAUUAUAAAUAUCUCUUAUUGAAGAGUCUUACUGAAUACAGCAUUGUAUAUCCUGAAAAGCUCAUACAUAUAUCCUUGUUUAAUCUUAUUGAUGGAGGGCGGAAGUAGAGAGACACACAACUUAAGUGGGAAAAUAGAAAGCUUAUUUUAUUGGAAGUAGAAGGAAUGAAUUAAUCUACUUGGACGAUGUUUAACUCUCCUCUCUUUAAUUUCUCUCUCUCGCUACUCAGAACAUACUGUGAAUUAUACUUCACUACCUUUCAUUAGUUGAAUAAGGCCAUUAAAAUAGUCAUACAAAAACAGAAUAAAAAUUGUUACGUAGAGAAAUAUAAAAACUAAACACUUUGGUCAACGCCACUGGAAGGCUUCCAUAAAUCUUAUUGUGAUUGAUAUCAAACCAAAUCAAGGUUUUCUUCGGAAACGUCACAGGAGACAGAUCAAAGGAGAAGGCGUUCCUGGAAAGAUCAAGUACCUGAGUUUUUUUCUUGCUUCCGAAAAGAAAUGAAGCAUCGCCUACCAAGUUGUUCCUUGACAAGUCUAUAUUGUCUGGGUCUAGGUUGCCCAAGGAAGGGGGAAGGGUCCCAGAAAGUUGGUUGUGAGAGAGUUUGAGAUCUGGCCCGGGCUUCUUGAAGGACCCGAAAGAGGCCGGGAUUGGGCCCGUCAAUUUGUUCCUGUCCAACUGUAGAGACCCGAGAUUAGGGAGCUGGGAAAGUGAGCUGGGAAUGGAGCCCGAGAGGCUGUUAAAGGAAAGGGCUAUAUACUCGAGGGUCUUAAUCUGGCCUAGAAAUUCAGGUAUUGAGCCUGAGAGACCAGUAUAUGUGAUAGAGAGAGAUUUGAGUUUGGUGAGUUUGGUGAUGGUUGUCGGAAUUGGGCCGACGAGGUUGGGGAGCUUGUGAAAGUCAAGGUACUCGAGGUAAGGGAGGUCACCCACAGAGGGUGGUAUUUGGCCAGUGACAUUGGGGUCUGGAAAAGAGGAUACUAGAAAUACUUCGUAGAUACGAUUAUUUCUGUCGUCACACUUAACACAGUACCAGUCACAGCAAUCCUCUUUUGGGUCCCAAGAAGCUAAGAAGUAAGGGUUGUUGAGUUCCUUUUUGAAGCGGAGGAGCACCUUCUUGUCCUGUGGGUGGCACCGCUCCGAUACUGCAACUGGAAAUGGGGACAACACUAGGACGCAUAGUCCCAACAUCAUUAACAGGCUUCGCAUUUUGCUUAUGAAUGUGAAGUCACAAGUUGUGUGUUCCAGAAGUACAUCGACACCCUUCUCAUUCCUCUCAUUUUAAACAACGAGGCGACGGUGCAGGGGUAAGUCACAUUUCAUGUUUUUCACAUGGGGAAUAAUAUCCGGUGCUAGUCACCAUCACACGUCAAAAUCACCCAUGUGGGGUUGUCUAUCGAAACAGUAUCCGUGAUUUACAGCUUUUUCCUACCCACUGCUGGCAUAUACACGCCAAAACAAAGCCAAUUAAAAACACAAAUACUAUACAUUAUUUAAUAAAAAAAAUUCCAACAACAGUAUUUUCUUUAAGGACAAUCAUGUUUUAACAACACUUUUAACUUUUUUUUACAACAGGACAGGUGUCACCAUUUCAUUCGUUUGUUUGAAUUUAUUUUAAAAAAUAUUUAAAACGGACCAAUUAUAAACUGUCACAUACGCGUUGUCAAAAAAAAAGGUUGUUAAAGAGACUUUUUCCUUUCUUUAACAAGUGUUAUAUGAUGAAGUUGUUUCCAACGGUUCACAAUUUAAAUUUUAAAUUGUCAUUAUAAUUUUUUAGAAAACUCUUUAAACAUGUUGAAAUAUGCAUAACGCAAUUUUAAAAGGAUAUAUAGGGAUCUAAUUUAAACUACUUUACCCAUAGUAUGCAAAAAAAAAAAACGAAAAUGAUAUUUUAACCUUUUUAUUUUUAUCUUUUACACAUAUUAUUAGGUUACAGGUGUGCAAACUAAAAUAAUUACAAAAAUGGAUAGUUUCUUACUCUUUAAAUUACAAAAAUAAAGUAGGUGACUUAAAAUUUAUAGUCCAAGAAUAAAUUUAUAGAAUUGUGACGACUUCUAAAAUUAAAUUAUCGUAAAAAUUUACUACGUGAAGUUGUUAAUUAGGAUUGAUGAUGAUUAAUGUGUAAAAAUGUUGGAUGAAAGUUAUUAAAAAUGGUAACGACUUUUAAUUUAUAUGAUGUCGUUUAAAAUAGUGAUAACUUUCAAUUGAACAAAAUUCGUUUGCAAUCAUGACAAUUUUAAUACACAGUUUUUCGAUUAAAGUUAUCAUUAGUGAUAAUGAUUUUCAUUGUGAAAUUGAGCUUCUCUUCUAUUACAAAGUUGAAACCGAGGAGUUUGUGGAGUUAAAACCGAACUUAUCGAGUUCUCUUCUAUUGUCUAGUCUAUCGAGCUGAAAUCAAACUUUUCCUUUUAUGUUUUUUAUAUAUACUAGUUGAUUGACCCGUGUGUACACACGUGUUAUUUGUUUUUUUUUUUCUUAAUAAUUAUUUUUAUUUUAUAUUUAAAAAUAAUAAAGUAGUGAAAUUAUUAUGUAAUGAGAUAUAAUGAAAAUUAGUUUGUGUUGUUGUAAUAAUUAUUAUUAAAAUAAUCAAAUAGUAAAUUUAAGUGAUAUGAUAAUAAUUUUAAUGUUGAAUAUAAUAAGUGAAAUUAAUAUUGUCAACAUCCCAUUUUAUUUAGGUAACAAUGAUGAUAAAUGAAGAUUAAAAUUAACUUGAAAAAAAAGUGACAUGGAAAACAAAAUAAAAAACUAUGUUGGUUAAGUUGAGAAAUACUAUAUAUUUUAUUUUAUUAUUUACUUUUUAUUUUAUCUUAUUUUAUUUAAGUUAAUUUCUUAUUGUUUUAUUUUAUCUUUUUAUCUUAUUUUAUUUUUACUUUUAUUUUAUCUUAUUCUACUUUAUUUUUAUUUUUAUUUUUAUUUGAUUUUAGAAAAAUGAUAAAAAGUGAAAUGAAUGAGUGAAGUGAAGUUGAAAGAAAUAUCGUAUAUUUGUGUCAAUUAUUUUGUUUGGACAGUCUACACCCUUUGCUCAUUUUGGCUAUAGUCUCCAUGGACCAGUAUAUGUUGUCAUUGAUUAUAUAUCAAAGGAUAAAGCCGCCAACGUGUUCACUAUAAAAAUAUAUAAUUUUUUUAAGGAUUAUUUUUAACGUUAUCGACUAUUUUAAUCUCUGUAAAAUGUAUUAUCUAUGAUUGCAAAAAUUGCUGGAAAAAACAACAUCGUUAAGUAUUAUCGGUGAUUUUUGGCUAAAACAGCCGCAAUUUAUUGGGAUUUUGCUAAAAUCGCCAGUAUUUCCCAAGGUGUGAAAUGGAAGCCAAGAGAGCUGCAUGGCUUACCACAAAAUAGUUGGGAUGGUAAUUCACCUACUGGUUAUGAGGAGGCUUAUCAAGAUGAUAGAACAACAGUGGACAACAAGGUCUCAAUAGUGGACAUUAAGUUCAGAGGUUAGAAAAAGGGAAUAUUUUGAGGAGCGGUUGAAGGCAAUUUUGAAGGAGGUGGAAGAGGCCAAGGAGAAAGUUAUUAUGUUCAUUGAUGAGAUUCAUUUGGUUCUUGGUGUUGGAAAAGGUGGGGGUUCCAUGGAUGCUGCUAAUUUGUUUAAGCCUAUGCUUAUGCAAGGUCAGUUGAGGUGCAUUGACGCCACCACACUUAAGGAGUAUAGGAAGUAUGUAGAGAAGGAUGCAGCCUUUGAAAGAAGGUUUCAACAGGUGUACGUGGUGGAAUCAAGUGUUGUUGAUACUGUAAGUAUAUCUUGAAAUCCAAGAAGAACCUUCGUCUACAAAGACCAAUUGCCGUAAUUAGUCUUUUCCGACAAGUGUGGCACACUCAUUCCAUUAACUACCUUUGUCAUCUCUCACAAAAAAAACUCAAGUACUCAUUUUUUCCCUCACGAUGUUUAACUCUCCUCUCUUUAAUUUCUCUCUCUCGCUACUCAGAACAUAAUCUGAAGUAUACUACGCUACCUUUCAUCAAUUGAAUAAGGCCAUUGAAAUACCCGUACAAAAACAAAAUAAAAAUUGUUACGUACAAAAAUAUAAAAACUAAACAACGGACAAAUAUCAUCAUCCAUUCAAAUUAACAAAAUAAAAAAUUACAUUUUUAACCCUUUUUAAAAUUUAAGUUUAUUUAAGACUUACAUCGUUAUUAUGUCGAAUAUGAACGCCAAAUAAGAUUGAAAAAGACAUUUUGGCCAGACUACAAUUAAUAAAUGGGAUUUUUGGUUUAAUUUUUCCGAAUGAAUAAACGCAAUUGAAUUUAAUUUAUCAUAUUUUGUACGAUUUGAAUUUAACUAUGAUAAUUCGAUAAUUUCAUAUCGGUAGGAUAAUUCUUGAAAAGAAAUAAUGAUUUGUUUAACUUUGAAAUUUGAGUUUUAUUAGUUUUAUAUAAAACAUUUGUUUACUAAAACGAGUGAACAUGAAGGUCAAGCAUUUAACAAGUUCAAAUAGUUCAUAUCACUCAACUCGUAUAUAUCUUUGUUUUCAGACUUUCAAUACCUAUGGAAGAGACCUUGUGAACAAGCAGGGAAGCUCAAUCCAGUUAUUGGAAGGGAUGAGGAAAUAUGAAGGGUUGUGAGGAUUUUAUCUAGAAGGACAAGAAAUUCCCCAAUUUUGAUUGGUGAAUCGGGUUUGGGAAAAAUUGUUGUGGUUGAAGGGUUGGCUCAAAUGAUUGUUAAAGGGGAUGUUCCUAGUAAUCUUUCUAAUGUUAGACUCAUUGCAUUAGACAUGGGUGUGUUGAUUGCGAAAGCGAAGUAUAGAAGGGAGUUUGAGGAGCGGUUGAAGGCAAUUUUGAAGGAGGUGGAAGAGGCUAAGGAGAAAGUUAUUUUGUUCAUUGAUGAGAUUCAUUUGGUUCUUGGUGCUGGAAAAGGUGAGGGGUCCAAGGAUGCUCCAAAUUUGUUUAAGCCUAUGCUUGUGCGGGGUCAGUUGAGGUGCAUUGGCGCCACCAUGCUUCAGGAGUAUAGGAAGUAAGUAGAGAAGGAUGCAACCUUCGAAAGAAGGUUUCAACAGGUGUACGUGGCGGAACCAAGUGUUGUUGAUAUUGUAAGUAUAUCUUGGGAUCCAAGUAGAACCUUCAUCUACAAAGACCAAUUGUCGUAAAUCAUUUUUUCCAACAAUUGUGACAGAAUCAUUCCAUUGAAUACCUUUGUCAUCUCUCACAAAAAAAAAAACAAAAAACUCAAGCACUUACUUUUCCCUUCACUUUGUUUAACUCUUCUCUCUCUAUUUUUUUUCUCUCUCGGUACUCAAAACAUAAAACUCUGAUACCACUUUGUUAAACUAAUCUUAUGCACACAAAAUAUUUUUCUGUGAAUUAUACUUCACUACCUUUCAUUAGUUGAAUAAGGCCAUUAAAAUAGUCAUACAAAAACAGAAUAAAAAUUGUUACGUAGAGAAAUAUAAAAACUAUACAAUGAAAAAAAUAUCCCCAUCCCUUGAAAUUAACAAAAUAAAAAAUUACAUUUUUAACCCUUUUUAAAUUUAAGUUUAUUUAACACUUACUUAGUCAUUAUGCUGAAUAUGAACACUACAUGAUAAAUUCGAAAAGACUUUUCGGCCAAACUACAUUUAAUAAAUGAGAUUUUAGGUUUAAUUUUUCUGAAUGAAUAAACGCAAUUGAAUUUAAUUUAGCAUAUUUUGUACAAUUUAAGUUUAACUAUGAUAAUUCAAUAAUUUCAUAUCGGUAGGAUAAUUCUUGAAAAUAAAUAAUGAUUUAUUUAACUUUGACAUUUGAGUUGUACUAGUUUAAUAUAAAACAUUUGUUUACUAAAACGAGUGAACAUGAUGAUCAAGCAUUUAACAAGUUCAAAUAGUUCAUAUCACUCACCUCGUAUAUACCUUUGUUUUCAGACUUUGAAUAGCGAUGGAAGAGAACUUGUGGAACAAGCAGGGAAGCUCGACCCGGUUAUUGGAUAAGAUGAGGAAAUACAAAGGGUUGUGAGGAUUUUAUCUAGAAGGACGAAAAAAUAACCCAGUUUUGAUUGGGGAACCCGGGGUGGGAAAAACUGUUGUGGUUGAAGGGUUGGCUGAGACGAUCGUUAAAGGAGAUGUUCCUAGUAAUCUUGCUGAUGUUAGGCUCAUUGCAUUGGACAUGAGUGUGUUGGUUGCAGGUGCGAAGUAUAGAGGGGAGUUUGAGGAGCGAUUGAAGGCAAUUUUGAAGGAGGUGGAAGAGGCUGAGGAGAAAGUUAUUAUGUUUAUUAAUGAGAUUCAUUUGGUUCUUGGUGCUUGAAAAGGUGAGGGUUCCAAGGAUGCUACAAAUUUGUUUUAAGCCUAUGUUUGCGUGGGGUCAGUUGAGGUGCAUUGGCGCCACCAUGCUUCAGGAGUAUAGGAAGUAUGUAGAGAAAGAUGCAACCUUUAAAAGAAGGUUUCAGCAAGUGUACAUGGCGAAACCAAGUGUUGCUGAUAUUGUAAGUAUAUCUUGGGAUCCAAGUAGAACCUUCAUCUACAAACACCAAUUGUCGUAAUUCAUUUUUUGCAACAAUUGUGGCACAAUUAUUCUUGUAUGAUAUAUAAAUGAAGAGACCUUGUGGAACAAGCAGGGAAGCUCGACCCGGUUAUUGGAAGGGAUGAGGAAAUACGAAGGGUUGUGAGGAUUUUAUCUAGAAGGACGAAAAAUAACCCAAUUUUGAUUGGUGAACCCAGUAUGGGAAAACCUGUUGUGGUUGAAGGGUUGGUUGAGAGGAUCGUUAAAGGAGAUGUUCCUAGUAAUCUUGCUGAUGUUAGGUUCAUUGCAUUGGACAUGGGUGUGUUGGUUGCGGGCGCGAAGUAUAGAGGGGAGUUUGAGGAGCGGUUGAAGACAAUUUUGAAGGAGGUGAAAGAGGCUGCGGAGAAAGUUAUUUUGUUCAUUGAUGAGAUUCAUUUAGUUCUUGGUGUUAAGGGUUCCAUGAAUGUUGCUAAUUUCUUUAAGCUUAUGCUUGUGUAGGGUCAGUUGAGGUGCAUUAGCACCACCACGUUUGAGGAGUAUAAAAAGUAUCUAAAGAAAGAUGCAACCUUUGAAAAAAGGUUUCAAUAGGCGUAGGUGACGGAACUAAGUGUUGUUGAUACUAUAAGUAUAUCUUGGGAUUUAAGAAGAACCUUCAUACAUAUCCUCAAAAGUUCAUACAUAUCCUUGAUUAAUCUUAUUGAUGGAGGGCGGAAGUAGAGAGACACACAACUUAAGUGGGAAAAUAGAAAGCUUAUUUUAUUGGAAGUAGAAGGAAUGAAUUAAUCUACUUGGUGCAGGGCAGAAGUGGAGAGCCACACAACUUGGUGUGAAAGAAGGCAUAUUUAUCGAAUCUAUGCAAUUCCCCACCCUNUGGUAUUUGGCCCUUNNACUGAGGAUUAUAANUGANGUUCAACUGCUGCAAAUUUUCCACUUUGGUCAACGCCACUGGAAGGCUUCCAUAAAUCUUAUUGUGAUUGAUAUCAAACCAAAUCAAGGUUUUCUUCGGAAACGUCACAGGAGACAGAUCAAAGGAGAAGGCGUUCCUAGAAAGGUCAAGUAUCUGAGUCUUUUUCUUGCUCUCGAAAAGAAAUGAAGCAUCGCCUACGAAGUUAUUCCUUGACAAGUCUAUCCUGUCUGGGUCUAGGUUGCCCAAGUAAGGGGGAAUGGCCCUAGAAAGUUAGUUGUGAGAGAGUUGAAGAUCUGGCCCGGGCUUCUUGAAGGAGCCGAAAGAGGCCGGGAUUGGACCCGUCAAUUUGUUCCUGUCCAACUGUAGAGACCCAAGAUUAGGGAGCUGGGAAAGUGAGCUGGGAAUGGAGCCCGAGAGGUUGUUAAAGGAAAGGGCGAUCGACUCAAGGCUCUUAACCUGGCCCAGAAAUUUAGGUAUCGGGCCUGAGAGACCAGUAUUGGUGAUAGAGAGUUGUUUCAAUUUGGUGAGUUUGGUGAUGGUUGUCGGAAUGGGGCCGACGAGUUUUGGGAGCUUGUGAAAGGUAAGGUACUCGAGGUAAGGGAGGUCACCCACAA